AUUGUAAUUAACUAAUGCCAACUUUACCCUUUCUUGAAAUCAGAUUAGGGCUUCAGUGUGAGCAGCCACUCACUCUAUUUUCUCAUUCGUGCUUCAAAGUGUGGCUUUUAGCCUCUGCGUCGCCAGUGUCAGCACAGUCCCGUCGUCACCGCCGUCAUAACCACCGCAAGGAUAACGUACAAGGAACCUAGUUGAGAGAGUCUUCGUUGUUGCUGUCGCUGUCGUGUUCAUCAAACUUCGUUGUUGUCAUCACAGUUUGCAUAACCUAGGAAGAAAUGGAGCGGUCGAAAAUUAUUAAGCGAUGUGUGUCUUUUUAUGAAGAGAUGAGAUCUAACCAUGAAGACUUGAUGUUGUUCUUUAUGCUUACGCUAUUUGUUUACUUUAGGGAUAGAACUAGUGGCCAAUUAUCGUUAGGUGGAAGAAUGAAUAGUAGAGUUAGACGUGAGGCUUUAGAGCGUAUCAUUGGUGAGGGUGAUAGGAAUUGUAUCUGGGAGUUGAGAAUGAACACAAAUGCCUUUGCUAAUUUGUGUGAGUUGCUCCAAGUUCAAGGAGGACUUACCGAGGAUGGUCAUGUAAGCCUGCCGGAGCAGGUUGCGACUUUCUUAAUUAUCUUAGCGCAUCACAAAAAAAAUCGUAGUCUGCAGGUUAGAUUUUGUAGGUCCGGCGAGACAGUUAGUAAGUAUUUUAAUAAAGUUUUGAAAGCUGUGAUACGGAUUCAAAGCAUUUUGUUUGCCAAGGCUACACCAGUUGAAGAGGAUUGUCUUGACCCCACAUGGAGAAAGUUUAAGAUAGAGCUUAUUCGAUGUUGUGUAUGUUUGGGUAUUUUUUGAAGGAUUCUAUAUCUGAGUAUCAUAACUUUCUAUGGAUGAUAGGGUUGCUUGGGAGCAUUAGAUGGCACUUAUAUAGAGGUGACAGUCCCCGAGUCGGAGAAGGCAAGAUACCAAACAAGAAAGGGUAAAAUAUGCACCAAUGUCUUAGGUGUGUGUAACCAGGAGAUGGGUUUUCUCUAUGUACUCAGUGGAUGGGAGGGAUCGGCGUCUGAUUCACGGGUACUUUGAGAUGCAAUAACUCUUCGUAAUAGUCUUAAGAUACCCCACGGUAAUUACUAUUUAGUUGAUGCUGGUUACACAAAUGGUCCGAGGUUUCUCGCACCGUAUAGAGGCACUCGAUAUCAUGUAAGAGAGUGGGCCCAAGGAGCACGUGCACCACACAAUUACCAAGAAUAUUUUAAUAGGGUUCAUUCUUCCGCAAGGAAUAACAUUGAGCGAUGCUUUGGUUUGCUGAAAAAGAGGUGGUCCAUCUUAAGAAGCCCUAACUUUUACCCUCUAAAGACACAAUCUCAGAUAAUUAUUGCCUGUUGUUUGCUGCAAAAUUUCAUUCGAAAGAGUAUGGAGAUGGAUCCGGAGGAGGAAGGUAGCAUAUUGGAUGAAUUUCUGCCUGAUGGAGACGAAGAACAGGAUGGAAUGAUUGAUGUGGUUGAAAACACGAACGAGUGGACUCACUGGCGUGACAACAUAGCAACUGAGAUGUAUGAAGAGUGGCAUGCAGGUCGUAUGGGUGACUCUGGUGUUGGCAAGAGCAGCCUCCUUCUCUUCUUGCUUUCACACUAAGCAAUGGAAGGAAAGAUCUAUAAUAUAUACAAGCCUCAGCCAUUCAUGUUUUCCUUUUUUUUAAAUAUUAACUUCAUAAAAAAUUUGUUAAAUGCGGUUUAUUUUUUCACAGGCACAUCUGACCAAGUUCUACAGUCAUGGCAAGCCAUUUCCUCUUUUUCACCGACUGGAGGGUAUAUUUGGCAGGGAUAGAGCCACAGGAGUAGCAGCAGUUAGUGGUUUUGAUGCGGAGGAACAUGUUAACAAAGAGACAGAAGACACUGCAGUUGGAUUUGAUGAGUCUGAUAUGUCUCCACAUCCAGACAACGGUGGAGGGCCAGCAAUGCAAGGAUAAGGUUCACAAUCUGAAGCAGGUGCGAGUGCAGGAAGCACAAGGCGAUAUGGGAGAAAGAGAAAACAACUUGACGUACUGGAGAGGAUGGCCGACCAUAUUCAGCAAUCUUCAGCUGACCAAAGGAAGAAUGCACAACUGAUAGCUGAUGCCAUUGUUGGAGUAAACGAGAAGUGGAAGGUUGGCGAGAAGCUCACACAGCUUGGGUUCAGUGAUGACGAGGUGGUGAGGGUGAUUUUGAAGUUUGCUAAAAGUCCUAACGUGUAUGCACACUUCUGGGGCUUGUCAGAUUCACAGAUGAUUGGCCUUGUCCGCUCCAUUAUAUGAAGUUGACUGUUAGUUAAGGGUAUUAGGUUUGGGCUAGGGUAUUAAGUUUUUUACUGUAGGGUUUUAGGAUUUUGGGAGUAGGUUAUGUUUAAGAUGAUAUAACGUACAAACUUAUAUUUGGUAUGCAUUUGGAUAGAUAUUUUGAAAAUGCCUUUAUUUUGCUCUGUUCAAAAUAGGUGUAGGUUCUUUGUACAGUUUUAUUGGUAUUGUGGUAUGGCCUUUAUUUUGGUGGUUUGAGCAGGAAUUUUUUACUAAGUACAAUAUUUAUGGUCAUGAUCUUGUUAAUGACAAUUAUCUUUUAAUUUUUGGUCA